AGAUAAGAGAGAUCAUCUAAAUCUUGAUAACAAGAAAAAUUUUGUUUCUUUUUUAACAUACAUGUACACAGGUUGUUUAACCUGUUCACUGGAUCAUACAGAAUUUAGCAGAAGGUUCUGUAAUUAUGGAAUUGAAAGAGCGAGUCUGGUUAAGAAAAAACACGUAGCAAAAUUCAAUGGAUCACAAUGUAGAUUGUAUCUACACGUUAUCGUUGUAAUCCUGGAUGAAACAACAGACAACACAU
rnacentral:misc_RNA from 1 species